CUCUUGUGACAAUUUAAAUCUUUCAUUACAGAGAAACUUUUCCCGCAUGUUUCACAUGAAAAAGGUCUUUCACCAGUAUGAAUUCUCUUGUGGACAUUUAAGUGACUAAUUGCACGGAAACUCUUUCCACAUAUUUGGCAUGAAAAAGGCUUCUCACCUGUA